AUUGAACGCUGGCGGCAGGCCUAACACAUGCAAGUCGAACGAGCGGCGGACGGGUGAGUAAUGUCUGGGGAUCUGCCUGAUGGAGGGGGAUAACUACUGGAAACGGUAGCUAAUACCGCAUACUAUCGGAUGUGCCCAUAUGGGAUUAGGUAGUAGGUGGGGUAAAGGCUCACCUACGCGACUAUCCCUAGCUGGUCUGAGAGGAUGAACAGCCAAACUGGAACUGAGACAAGGCCCAGACUCCUACGGGAGGCAGCAGUGGGGAAUAUUGCACAAGGGGCGCAAGCCUGAUGCAGCCAUGCCGCGUGUAUGAAGAAGGCCUUAGGGUGGUAAAGUACUUUCAGCGGGGAGGCGUUACCCGCAGAAGAAGCACCGGCUAACUCCGUGCCAGCAGCCGCGGUAAUAC
rnacentral:rRNA from 1 species